rnacentral:lncRNA from 1 species
CCGGAGGGAGAGACGUUAGGUCUCUUGGGUCUCUGGAAUUGAGAGGAACUCGAAAAUGAGAUGCAGAUUGGGAGAACCCCUUAGGGUUUUUGGAAGCUUGGGUUACUUGGGCCAGCACUGGCCAUUAGAAAAAUUUUUCCUCUGACAUCCCCAUUUCUCAUCUUCGCACCCCUAUUCUACUUUCUGCCUAGGCUAACUCUGGACCAAGUCAAAAACAUGAAACUUUCCUUUCUGCACCCCCAUUUCGUUUUCACACACCUGGCCACUUGAGUUUGGGCCCAAUAAGUUUUAAAAAAAAGUGAUUUAGACACCNCAUCUUUUAUUUAAAC